rnacentral:rRNA from 1 species
AUGAACGCUGGCGGCGUGCUUAACACAUGCAAGUCGAACGGUGAAGCCCCGCUUGCGGGGUGGAUCAGUGGCGAACGGGUGAGUAACACGUGAGCAACCUGCCCCUGACUCUGGGAUAAGCCUGGGAAACUGGGUCUAAUACUGGAUAUGACCUGCUCUCGCAUGGGGGUGGGUGGAAAGAUUUAUCGGUGCAGGAUGGGCCCGCGGCCUAUCAGCUUGUUGGUGGGGUAAUGGCCUACCAAGGCGACGACGGGUAGCCGACCUGAGAGGGUGACCGGCCACACUGGGACUGAGACACGGCCCAGACUCCUACGGGAGGCAGCAGUGGGGAAUAUUGCACAAUGGGCGGAAGCCUGAUGCAGCGACGCCGCGUGAGGGAUGAAGGCCUUCGGGUUGUAAACCUCUUUCAGCAGGGACGAAGCGUGAGUGACGGUACCUGCAGAAGAAGCACCGGCUAACUACGU